CGUCUGCUAUUGAUAUAUUGACGCGGUCGGCGGCUGGGUCAUUUAAAUCUAUGGCUUCAACGACGACUUGAUGCCAAUCUCGCUCUCACCGGUGGUGUCGCUUCUGUAGACAACAUCAGACUAAGGUGCUUGCGGACGGUGUGUGUGCGUGCGCCACCUGUAAACAUAGCUCUUGUGAGAUUGUUUCGCGUGUUAAACGUUCACUGAAAAAAUUGCAACCUCUAAGGGAAUUAGGGCUUAGCAUGCAUACAAUGCACGCAAGUCUAUGCGCACAUGCGGUUUAUUAUUAAACCAAAAUACAUUGUAACACAUCCGUUCGCGAAGUGUUCAUUAUACUUUUGUAUAAACAAAGGCAGAUCUGAACGUUGACAUCAGACACCAUCUUUUUCGUCAUGUUGAUGCAGCUUGUGCGAUCCUCAAAGGAUCAAUUCGAUUCGCUGGUUGGACUCGAUAAAUAAACGUAUAGAAAAUGUACGACGUCGUAUAACAACGACGCUUAGCGACGGCUUAAGGAUAAGACAUUUCUUCCUUUGCUAAGGUUGUCCAGCACCGCAGCACGCUAAAAACCGAUACGAAUACCUCAAUGGUACAAUUUUUAGCAAAUGGAACGAGUGAAAUUUAUCGUUCGUUUGUUAUGAGAGACAGAAUUGGCUACCACAGAAAAGUACAGCAGAGUCAAAGCUGAUUGGGUCACGCUUCAUAUAUCUUUCCCUUCAUGCCGUACGUUUUUUUUACCUGUCAAUUAGCAACACGUCCAACAAACAACCAUAGCCGCUGAUCCGUACGGAAGAUCUCCCGCUUUGGGGUAGAGAAAACCAAAGAUCACAUCGCACGAUGCCUGUCACUUUUGGUUGGACACCGCAGGAGAUCUCGUCCAAUAACUUAAGCUCGAAUUGAAAAGCACUCUUCUUGAGGCAUUGUUAGCGUUUACUCAAUGGAGCCUUGAUGGAGGUGAGCGUGUUUCUCGACAUGGAGAUCUAUUAGUGCGUAGAUCGCAGCGGACAGCCAUAUUCAAACAUAUCCUCAAUGGAACACCUGACGCUGUUUAGGCGAUUUUAUCCUAUUUAUGCAAGGAAACGGAGAAUCAGCACCGCAGCUAUAUAGUUUCCCUGCCCAACUGGCUGGCUGCUUGCCACCCGUUCGUUGUCUAGAAAUACCGGACGGACCACACCGGAACAUCAGCACGGCCUGCUCAGCCCUUCAAUAAUGUGAAGUUAUUGCCAGGGGGAGGUCAUAAACCGAUCGCAGGGUGCAGCGGCCUCCGAUCCGUCCAUGCAGACGUGUCAAUGCAUACAAAUACAAUCUGUGGGGUUGCUGGUACUGCUCUUCGGUCUUGUUUUCCUCGGGGUUGGAGUAUUCUGCAUGGCCAUUGAGUAUUUUUGCAGAACCAGCAUGGCGCUGUGUGAUUAUUGAAAUAGCUGUCAAUGAUCAUUCGUUGUCACAGUUGCUAUCUACAAUCAUCUCUCAAGACGACGCAGGUCCCGUAGAGUACGAGAAACGAACGAGGGGCAACAAAGCAAGUUUCUUCGGUACGACCAAUUCCUUCAUCACCACGUCCAUCUCCUGCCCUCUCACACUCACCGCCUACUUCGUACACAAGCAAAUGUCAACCACGUCGCGAACGAUGGAGACUAACGGCAGAAGCAUUGUAAGCUAGGAACAUGCGGAAAGUUCCCUCAUACCAAGCGGAGUAGUCGUUGUGCUGUCUGCAGUCGCACAUUCGUAUGGCGUCGGCGCCAACAACUCAGCGGUUCGCGGCCAUAGUUUAGCCACGCCGGACUCCGAGGUCGUUCCGAUUCAGAGAGCACUACUUCUUCGCUUGGUAACGGCGGCGGCAAUGGGUCGAGGUGCCAACGAGCGCUCCACUCGUGCCGUUGCUGCCGCCGGGAACCACUGCUCGUCGCUCAAAGGGGGUCAGACGAUUUAUGAGCAGAGAAAUCACCAGCGACGCGCCCAGAUUUAAUAAACGGCUGAAGUGGAAACGGCAGCGAUGGCGGCAGCAGCAGCGCUCGCGGAGGCAAACUGGUCGGCCAGCUUCUGCAGUUGCGACUACUGCUACUUUCUACCUUUGUCGACACCAUUGUUUCUGCAGCCGGCCGAACGAAUAAACGACGGACCACGGGCACCUGCAGAACAUACGAAAGAAGAGUAUAGGACAAUCCAGCAGGCGCAUUGGAGGUUGGUAGCACUUUGCUACUCAACCUACAGGCGCUGUAGGACACACAGUCAUCGAAGAGGAUAGGUCGGAGAAGUGUCGACUCCGGACGUUUGCGCUGGAGCGUCGGACUAUUUGAGUGCAAAAGAAGUGAUGUGCGAUGCAGGUCAAGAAUUGGUGGAGGGCAGUCGAGUUGGCCGUGACUUGACCCAGGACAGGCCCGUCGGAUGGUCAACGAGAUCGGGUCGACCCUAGGGUUAGGGAUGGGGAAUUGGAAGCGCGAAUGUAAGGCGACCGGGGUCUUUGUUUUUCAACAAAUGGCCCUCCUGGGAAGAUUCUUCGGCGAAAAAUAGACAGGAAGAAUGGGGCAAGCCCAAAGUAGGAGAUCUAAGACAACGAUCGUAUGUCCUCAUAGGCUUCACAUGGACGACUCUCGCAUGAAGACCUAUCGGAAAGGAUAUAGGAUCGACAGUUGUAGAAAUGGGUGUGAUUGGAGAAGAUCAGCAAAAGCAACUGACGUUUAGUCCUUUCUGUUGCUGCCACGCUCGGACUUGUACGAGCAAUGCGGGCUUGUGAGAUAAAUCAACGAAUAGCUGAGAUAUGAUAACAGCCAUUAAAUAAAACUUGUACUUCUUGAUUUUGAAACAUUUGUCCAAGCUUCGUUCGCUUUCUGCGUCUGUAUCAUAUAGCCAUCUUUGUUCA